rnacentral:other from 1 species
AAGAGGUAAUCCCCAACAGCAGCAGACUUUGAAACUUUAAACAGACAGGUCUGAGAGCCCGAACUCUCCUUUUCCUUUGACUUCAGCCUCCAAGGAGUUCCACCACUUUGGCGUGCCGGCUUCACUUUCAUUAAGUGAAAGAGAGGUGCCCAGACAUG